UGCUGGAUUCUGGUUCAUUUGUAGAUCUGAUUUCUCCUUCAGAAUACUUCUAAAUAGCAGGUGGUUUUACACCGCACACAGGCCUGGCCUAUAGUUAGGCAAGCCAUGAAUACUUCUAGAUAAUUUGGUCUAGUGAUCGGGGAAUAAUUUUUUUUUUUUUUUACAGAAGUGGAGUGGGACGGGAAGGCGAGAAGAGCUGAUUGGAGGAUUCAGGGCAGCCAGGCGUGGACAUCUGCCUUCCUCCCUGGCACCUGUUAUUUCAGUGAAAGAGAAGAUUAAGCCACCUGCUGAGAACCAGGGAGUCACCGAGCUGGCAGGACCCUUGAGGAAAGUGGUUAAGGGUUUGAAACAGCUGGUAUGGAGAACGGAAAUGGGAUAGCUGAGAAACACUUGCGGGCCCAGCUGAGGACCGAGCUCAUACAUUUAUAAUGGGGCCCAGCAGCAUGAAUAUGCAAUUUUCUCCAGAAAGGCUUAGCAGUCCUGAGCUAGAAAUAAGAAAAAUAAUGUUAAUUAUUGUUUAUUCUUGCCGACUGUAUGCCAGGUCCGUGCUAUAUGCUGACGUUGCUUGAUCGUUAUCCUCUGGAGCCCCGGGUACAGGUGUCCUUGCUGCUAGCCUGUGGAUGGAUCCCAAGAUGCAACGUGACCAGGUACUUUGAGGUCCUGCCAUCUUGAUUUCCCUGCAUGAUGGAUUACUAAGACUGAGCAGAUGGACUAUCCUCAGACUGAGCUAGCAGAACCCUCCCUCAAGUUUUAUCAGGAAAUCUUAUCACAGCAGCAGGAAAAGUUGUUCAAGCAACAUUCAGACCCUUUUCUGCUUAAUUAUGAAAAUGAAUGGGCACUGGUAUGAAGCUCUCCUCAUGAAGAAUGAACCCAUUUGAGGAGCGCCCCACGGGUUACAGUCUGUGAACUAAGGAUGGCAUGCCAUUGCAGUCUGAACAACACUUUCCCUCCAAAUAAUUAAAUACCAAAGCUUUUCUAUUUGUUGAAAGCAAUAGAAAAACCCUCGCAAUGUACGUGCUUCCAGAGGUCACUGGCCACAGCACGAGAUCAAAUGUAAGUAAUGUCCUCAUACCAAGGCACAGGGCUAUAGGCCAGGAGGCCAUACCCACAGCUUCCGAAGGUGCCGUUGAUUCUUCCUCUAUAACUGAGUGUCGUUAAACCAAUUAUGAUGAAUUCUGCAUUAUGAAACCAGGGAGCCUUGGGUUAGUUGAUGGCAUCCAUACAGAUCUUUCAAGGUGGAAAUAAGGAUAUACUUUGCACUCAAGAUUGUAUUCCAAGAGGGUCCUUGCAGCUUAGUAGGAAAAGUAAGUCCCAGCAGAGACUUGGUCUGAAACAACAACUUGCCCAGUCUCCCCGAAGUCCCCCAAACGUAAAAUCCAUAUUGAACUUUCUUCGUUUCCAGUUGGACUGCACUUUGCUCCUUGGGGAGAGAGGGGUAAUAAAGACCAAGGACACAAAAACACCAUCAUGUCUCCCUUCUAGAUGUGAUUUCCUUCUUUAUUUUGUAUCUUUUCUGAAUUAAAAGAAUAGAUAAUUCAAACUGGUCCUGGGACAAAUUCAAUAAAUACAAGAGUAUCAGCCAAGCACAAGGUCUCAUACCAUUCAUUUAUGAAAACAAAAAAAUGUUCUAUUAUAAGUGAAGACAAUUGCAUAAAGCACCAUAUAUGCCAUUCUGCUUAAAGACAAAGC